rnacentral:RNase_P_RNA from 1 species
GGAGCCGGCCGGACAGUCGCGUCAUUCGUAAGAAUGCCGAGGAAAGUCCGGGCUCCACAGGGCACGGUGCCAGGUAACGCCUGGGCGGCGCGAGCCGACGGCCAGUGCAACAGAAAGCAAACCGCCGAUGGCCCGCAAGGGAUCAGGUAAGGGUGAAAUGGUGCGGUAAGAGCGCACCGCGAGUCUGGCAACAGACCGGCACGGUAAACCCCACCGGGAGCAAGACCGAAUAGGGACCUCAUGGCGCGGCCCGCGUCGGGUCCGGGUAGGUUGCUUGAGCGUAUCGGUGACGAUGCGCCUAGAGGAAUGACUGUCCACGACAGAACCCGGCUUACAGGCCGGCUCCGCCA